rnacentral:rRNA from 1 species
UAGGUAGGUGGUCUCAUUUGUCUGGGGUGAAAGCCUUGAGCUUAACUCAAGAAGUGCCCUAGAAACGGUGAGACUGGAGUCCUGGAGAGGGUCGUGGAAUUCCCGGUGUAGCGGUGAAAUGCGUAGAGAUCGGGAGGAACACCAGAGGCGAAGGCGGCGACCUGGACAGGUACUGACACUCAACUACGAAAGCGUGGGGAGCAAACAGGAUUAGAUACCCUGGUAGUCCACGCUGUAAACGAUGGGUACUAGGUUUGGUGGGUCUUGACCCUGCUGAACCGGCGCUAACGCAAUAAGUACCCCGCCUGGGAAGUACGGUCGCAAGACUAAA